AGCGAACGCUGGCGGCAGGCCUAACACAUGCAAGUCGAACGGCAGCACAGGAGAGCUUGCUCUCUGGGUGGCGAGUGGCGGACGGGUGAGGAAUACAUCGGAAUCUACCUUUUCGUGGGGGAUAACGUAGGGAAACUUACGCUAAUCCCGCAUACGACCUACGGGUGAAAGUGGGGGACCGCAAGGCCUCACGCGAUUAGAUGAGCCGAUGUCCGAUUAGCGAGUUGGCGGGGUAAUGGCCCACCAAGGCGACGAUCGGUAGCUGGUCUGAGAGGAUGAGCAGCCACACUGGAACUGAGACACGGUCCAGACUCCUACGGGAGGCAGCAGUGGGGAAUAUUGGACAAUGGGCGCAAGCCUGAUCCAGCCAUACCGCGUGGGUGAAGAAGGCCUUCGGGUUGUAAAGCCCUUUUGUUGGGAAAGAAAUCCUGUCGAUUAAUACUCGGUGGGGAUGACGGUACCCAAAGAAUAAGCACCGGCUAACUUCGUGCCAGCCGCCGCGGUAAGAC
rnacentral:rRNA from 1 species